rnacentral:rRNA from 1 species
UCCUGGCUCAGAUUGAACGCUGGCGGCAGGCUUAACACAUGCAAGUCGAGCGGAAACGAAGGUAGCUUGCUACCAGGCGUCGAGCGGCGGACGGGUGAGUAAUGCUUAGGAAUCUGCCCAGUAGUAGGGGAUAGCCCGGGGAAACUCGGAUUAAUACCGUAUACGCCCUUUUGGGGAAAGCAGGGGAUCUUCGGACCUUGCGCUAUUGGAUGAGCCUAAGUCGGAUUAGCUAGUUGGUGGGGUAAUGGCUCACCAAGGCAACGAUCCGUAGCUGGUCUAAGAGGAUGAUCAGCCACAUCGGGACUGAGACACGGCCCGAACUCCUACGGGAGGCAGCAGUGGGGAAUAUUGGACAAUGGGCGCAAGCCUGAUCCAGCCAUGCCGCGUGUGUGAAGAAGGCUUUCGGGUUGUAAAGCACUUUCAGCGAGGAGGAAGGCCUUAAGCUUAAUACGCUUGAGGAUUGACGUCACUCGCAGAAGAAGCACCGGCUAACUCCGUGCCAGCAGCCGCGGUAAUACGGAGGGUGCAAGCGUUAAUCGGAAUUACUGGGCGUAAAGCGCGCGUAGGUGGUUAUGUAAGCGAGAUGUGAAA